rnacentral:rRNA from 1 species
GUAUCCUACGGGAGGCAGCAGUGAGGAAUAUUGGUCAAUGGGCGGAAGCCUGAACCAGCCAAGUCGCGUGAGGGAAUAAGGCCCUACGGGUCGUAAACCUCUUUUGCCGGGGAGCAAGGGCGGGGACGUGUCCCGGCCCGGAGAGUACCCGGAGAAAAAGCAUCGGCUAACUCCGUGCCAGCAGCCGCGGUAAUACGUAGGGAGCGAGCGCUGUCCGGAUUUACUGGGUGUAAAGGGCGCGUAGGCGGGUUAGCAA